rnacentral:rRNA from 1 species
GGCUCAGAUUGAACGCUGGCGGCAGGCCUAACACAUGCAAGUCGAACGGCAGCACAGAAGAGCUUGCUCUUUGGGUGGCGAGUGGCGGACGGGUGAGUAAUGUCUGGGAAACUGCCCGAUGGAGGGGGAUAACUACUGGAAACGGUAGCUAAUACCGCAUAACGUCGCAAGACCAAAGUGGGGGACCUUCGGGCCUCACACCAUCGGAUGUGCCCAGAUGGGAUUAGCUAGUAGGUGGGGUAAUGGCUCACCUAGGCGACGAUCCCUAGCUGGUCUGAGAGGAUGACCAGCCACACUGGAACUGAGACACGGUCCAGACUCCUACGGGAGGCAGCAGUGGGGAAUAUUGCACAAUGGGCGCAAGCCUGAUGCAGCCAUGCCGCGUGUAUGAAGAAGGCCUUCGGGUUGUAAAGUACUUUCAGCGGGGAGGAAGGCGGUGAGGUUAAUAACCUCGCCGAUUGACGUUACCCGCAGAAGAAGCACCGGCUAACUCCGUGCCAGCAGCCGCGGUAAUACGGAGGGUGCAAGCGUUAAUCGGAAUUACUGGGCGUAAAGCGCACGCAGGCGGUCUGUUAAGUCAGAUGUGAAAUCCCCGGGCUUAACCUGGGAACUGCAUUUGAAACUGGCAGGCUUGAGUCUCGUAGAGGGGGGUAGAAUUCCAGGUGUAGCGGUGAAAUGCGUAGAGAUCUGGAGGAAUACCGG